UCAUCAUAAUGCUUAACAUUUGCU
rnacentral:siRNA from 1 species